UAAACUACUCACUACUACCCAUGUAUGUGUUAGCAGAAGUGGGAGGAAGCUUGCUUCCAAAGCUUAGCGGCGAACGGGUGAGUAACACGUGGGCAACCUGCCUGACAGACUGGGAUAACUUGGGGAAACUCAAGCUAAUACCGGAUAGGAUCGUAAGCUGCAUGGUUUACGAUGGAAAGUCUGAACGACACUGUCAGAUGGGCCCGCGGCGCAUUAGCUAGUUGGUGGGGUAAUGGCCUACCAAGGCGACGAUGCGUAGCCGACCUGAGAGGGUGACCGGCCACACUGGGACUGAGACACGGCCCAGACUCCUACGGGAGGCAGCAGUAGGGAAUCUUCCACAAUGGGCGAAAGCCUGAUGGAGCAACGCCGCGUGAGUGAUGAAGGUUUUCGGAUCGUAAAACUCUGUUGUUAGGGAAGAACACCCGGGAGAGGAUCCCGGUUUGACGGUACCUGACGAGAAAGCCCCGGCUAACUACGUGCCAGCAGCCGCGGUAAUACGUAGGGGGCAAGCGUUGUCCGGAAUUAUUGGGCGUAAAGCGCGCGCAGGCGGCUUACUAAGUCUGGUGUGAAAGCCCACGGCUCAACCGUGGAGGGCCAUUGGAAACUGGUAAGCUUGAGUGCAGGAGAGGAUAGCGGAAUUCCUAUGG
rnacentral:rRNA from 1 species